CGGCAACAGCUCAAAUUUGAAAUCUGGCGCAAGCCCGAGUUGUAAUUUGUAGAGGAUGUUUCGGGGCAGCGGCCGUUCUAAGUUUCUUGGAACAGAGCGUCACAGAGGGUGAGAGUCCCGUACGUGAGCGGCCGAGCACCCCGCACGAAACUCCUUCGAC
rnacentral:rRNA from 1 species